rnacentral:rRNA from 1 species
AUUGAACGCUGGCGGCAGGCCUAACACAUGCAAGUCGAGCGGAUGAAGGGAGCUUGCUCCUGGAUUCAGCGGCGGACGGGUGAGUAAUGCCUAGGAAUCUGCCUGGUAGUGGGGGAUAACGUCCGGAAACGGGCGCUAAUACCGCAUACGUCCUGAGGGAGAAACAGGGGGAUGUUCGGACCUCACGCUAUCAGAGGGGCCUAGGUCGGAUUAGCUAGUUUGUGGGGUAAAGGCCUACUAAGGCGACGAUCCGUAACUGGUCGGAGAGGAUGAUCAGUCACACUGGAACUGAGACACGGUCCAGACUCCUACGGGAGGCAGCAGUGGGGAAUAUUGGACAAUGGGCGAAAGCCUGAUCCAGCCAUGCCGCGUGUGUGAAGAAGGUCUUCGGAGUGUAAAGCACGUUAAGUUGGGAGGAAGGGCAGUAAGUUAAUACCUUGCUGGUUUGACGUUACCAACAGAAUAAGCACCGGCUAACUUCGUG